rnacentral:rRNA from 1 species
AACGAACGCCGGCGGCAGGCCUAACACAUGCAAGUCGAGCGAACCGCAAGGUUAGCGGCGGACGGGUUAGUAACGCGUGGGAACGUGCCCAAAGGUACGGAAUAGCCUCGGGAAACUGAGAGUAAUACCGUAUGUGCCCGAAAGGGGAAAGAUUUAUCGCCUUUGGAUCGGCCCGCGUUGGAUUAGGUAGUUGGUGGGGUAACGGCCUACCAAGCCGACGAUCCAUAGCUGGUUUGAGAGGAUGAUCAGCAACACUGGGACGGAGACACGGCCCAGACUCCUACGGGAGGCAGCAGUGGGGAAUCUUAGACAAUGGGGGAAACCCUGAUCUAGCCAUGCCGCGUGAGCGAUGAAGGCCUUAGGGUUGUAAAGCUCUUUCACCGGGGAAGAUAAUGACGGUACCCGGAGAAGAAGCCCCGGCUAACUCCGUGCCAGCCGCCGCUGUAAAAC